UACGAAGGGGGCUAGCGUUGCUCGGAAUCACUGGGCGUAAAGCGCACGUAGGCGGAUCUUUAAGUCAGGGGUGAAAUCCCAAGGCUCAACCUUGGAACUGCCUUUGAUACUGGGGAUCUCGAGUCCGGAAGAGGUUGGUGGAACUGCGAGUGUAGAGGUGAAAUUCGUAGAUAUUCGCAAGAACACCAGUGGCGAAGGCGGCUCACUGGCCCGAUACUGACGCUGAUGCACGAAAGCUAGGGGAGCAAACAGG
rnacentral:rRNA from 1 species